GUCUGAGAGGAUGAUCAGUCACACUGGAACUGAGACACGGUCCAGACUCCUACGGGAGGCAGCAGUGGGGAAUAUUGGACAAUGGGCGAAAGCCUUGAUCCAGCCAUGCCGCGUGUGUGAAGAAGGUCUUCGGAUUGUAAAGCACUUUAAGUUGGGAGGAAGGGCAGUUACCUAAUACGUGAUUGUUUUGACGUUACCGACAGAAUAAGCACCGGCUAACUCUGUGCCAGCAGCCGCGGUAAUACAGAGGGUGCAAGCGUUAAUCGGAAUUACUGGGCGUAAAGCGCGCGUAGGUGGUUUGUUAAGUUGGAUGUGAAAUCCCCGGGCUCAWCCUGGGAACUGCAUUCAAAACUGACUGACUAGAGUAUGGUAGAGGGUGGUGGAAUUUCCUGUGUAGCGGUGAAAUGCGUA
rnacentral:rRNA from 1 species